GCGAAGUCACGCAAGGGGGGUUACCGCCAUUACUAACCCUCCUACCUUUGAAUGGUGGCUUGGUGGUUUGGUGGGUGUGUAGCUAGCUGAAUAAGGCAUCGUUUGUUUCCACACUCUCUCCUCUAUUUAAAUUGAGAAACGUGGACGCAAUCAUUACUGCAUUAAAUGGUUAAGUGGUCUUAUUAUUCAUCACCCAAACAGAGCCCCUCUCUCCCUGCCUAAUCUUUAUCUUUGUUCACCUGCCUUCUUCAGUUCUUCAGCUAGUACACAUGCAGCUGAAUAGCUGAAGCACAAGCUGCAUCCAAACUCUCUUCCACUCUAGCAAUCUGUAAGUUUAUCUUUCUCUCUGUGUUAUAUAGUAUUAUUUAUAUAUAUUUACAAUAUAUAUGUGUUUUGUGAUAUAUUGUUUUGUAUACUAGUAUAAUUUGAUACAAGAAAAAUACCCAGUUAGAGUUUUGUUGGGGUAAGAUGUGAGGAUGUAUUGAUUUCUAAAUGGAGUUCUUGAAUGAGAUUUCAGAUAUCAUAUUUGACCGUGUUUGGGCUAAUUCAUUAUACAGAUCUAUCUAUAUAUGUUUUCCUCCUUUAUUGUUCUAUUAUUUUCCCUCUUUAUUCUUCAUACUACUUUGAUUACUGAAGAAAUAUUCGGAGUAAAGUAAAAUUACGCUUUAUUUUUCUUGAUUCAUUGUUUUCUUCCUUUUAGGUAUAUAGUAAUUAUAAUAUACUCCCUCGGUCCCUCCCUUCCAAAAGAGAGUUUAUUCCUAAAUUUAAUAAUUAUUAUUUUACUACUACUAGUACUAAGAUAUUGAAAAGUAGUAGCACGAUGAUGGAGUGGUGUGGCCUGCUAAUAACCAAUAGAUUAAUGAGUAAAAUACACUAACACCCCUUUUAAAUAACCAUAAUAAAGUUCAUCUCCCUCUAGUUUUUUAAAUAACAGGUAGGAUCCCUACAAGUUUUGCAUUUGUUUUGGCUCCACUUGUGCACUUUUAGCAACACGUAUUGCUCUGUCAUUAUUAACCUACUUAAUUUAAGCACAAAUUCUAAGAGCCAAAAAGGAAAUGUUACCAAAAUAUACUUGUUGACCGCAUAUAAAUUUUUAUUUAAAUGUGAUUAUUAAACUUUAAUAUGACUAGAAAACCCUAAUUUAAUUAGGAAACCCUAAUUAUAUUUUUGAAAUCUUAAUUUUCUAAUUAAAACCCUAAUUAGAAAAAAAAUCUUAGAAACUAAAGUUGUAGAACCUGAGGGUUAGAACCUUAGGAUUACCCUAAGGGUUUGGAGAAAUGUCAAGUAUGCCAUUAAAAUUAAAAUGCAAAUGACCAAAUUGCCCUUUUUAUAUUUUUAAUAAGCUAACUUGCAAAUUUUGCCAAAUUUGUAGUUGUUCGCCAACUAAAGCUAGCCUUUUGACUUAAAUCUUAGCUACAAUCUAAUCUAGAGGGACACCUUGCAUUACAUACAUUUAAUGUAUCUAACUUAGAGGAUUAAAGGGAGAGAAAGUUUUAACUUUUGCUCAUUUAGCUAUCAAACACUCCACUUACUUUUCUCUCUCCCAAACCUCCAAAAUAUUAAAGUGUAUAAGUCCCUAAAACACCUCUUAGAACACUAAGAAUAGUAGGAGAGAUCAAAGAUCAAGGAUUGGACAAGAACGUAUACACCUCUAAAUCUACUUUGAUCUUGUAUGCUUAGUCAAAAAUCAUGUUUAUGUGUUUAUCUAUGUGCUAAUUAAUGGAUGUUUUAUGAUGAUCUAUGAUGAUCCAUCAUAGAUUCAUAGCAUCAAAAGGCUUUAAAAUGAUGAUUUUCAAAAACUGUUCUUGAACUCAAAAUGUGGUCUGACAAGCGAAUGUCAGUGGUUGUAAAUUCUUGUUUGUCUAUUAUUUUUAUUGUUUUAAGCUUUGAAUGUGUAGUCUGACAUGAGUACUUUGAUCUAGAAAUGGAAUCGUAGCUAUUGGAUGUCCAGCUUUUAAGUUAUAAACUGCGAGACCCCAAAUUUUAUGAAUAAAAAUUUAAAUUUCCCGAAUUUUUUAUAUAUUAUGGAGUAAAUUUGAUAUAAUGUUAUAGUUGUGGGUAAUAUUUAGAAAUUUUUAAAAGUAUGCAAGUUGUUAUAUAAUAUUCGAUUGGUCGGGGAAUAUUCAUUUUAACAAGGAAUAUUCGUACGACGGCACAAUCAUUGGUGGACCCCACAACGGAAUUAUUGUCGGAUUGAGAAAACGACAAAAAUAUUUUUUAUGAAAAUAACGGCGGAAGUCUUACCAUUAACUGUUGAAACACCCGGUGUUAAAAGUAUAGUAAUACGUGUGGUUUCAUAGUAGCACACGGUAUUGAUUAUUGAUGCUUACGUGAGAAGUCACUCAGUUUUGUUCAAUUAUUGCUACAAUAAUUGUUGCAUAGUAUCUCACGUUAUUUGAUUCAAUUAUUGUCGAUAUUUUAUAUAUUAUUAAAUCAAUAAUUGAGAUAACAAAGUUAUUAAUAUUAUUAUUUGCAAUAUUAAUGAUGUCUAGAAAUUCUGCCAAGGAGAGGUUUGGUUAUUUAAUUGCGCGCCAAUAGGGAGAAAUCCUUAUUGAAAAGCCCCCUCUUUCCUGGGAACGAUCUGGUCGAUUAAUAUUGUGAAUUAUAAUAAUGAUGAUAAAUGUUGUUAAAUAUAUUGAGGUGUCUUUUUAUGAAGUCACGAAAGUAUAUUUAUAUAUAUAUAUAUAUAUAUUCUGUUUUAUUAGUAUUAUUAAUGUAAUAAAACAGAAAAGCUUUUUAUAUAAAACAAAAUACUUUUAUAAAGUUAUUUAUUUUAUUAGACUAUAAAUAGAAAUAUUAUAUUCUAUUAUGCGUAGUAUUUUGCAUAGUAAAAUAUUUUUAUAUAAAACAGAAUACUUUUAUAAAGUUAUUUGUUUUAUUAGACUAUAAAUAGAAUAUAUUAUAUUCUAUUAUGCAUAGUAUUUUGUAUAGUAAAAUCUUUUUAUACAAAACAGAAUACUUUAAUAAAGUUAUUCGUUUUAUUAGAUUAUAAAUAGAAUAUAUUAUAUUUUAUUUAAAAGAUUUUGUUUUAUUAGAAUAUUUUAUUAAUACUGCAUAGUAAAUCAAUAUGGACCGUCCGUUUAAAAGUAAAUCAAUCUGGACCAUUCAUGAAUUAGUUACUAUUCAGUUCAUUCUCCUAUAAAUAGAAGCUCAUUCCUUCAUUAUUUCUUACGAACUCACAAACAUUCUAGAGAGAGAAACUAUAGAGAGAAAGAAGAAAAGUAUUCUGCUACUUCACUACUCAUAUAGUCAGUUUCUUCUAAGGUAAGGGAUAUUAUUUGUUGUAUUCGUAAGGGGUAUUAUUUCUUUCGUAUUCAUGAAGAGAAUUAUUUUCUUUCAAUACUCGUAAGGGGUAUUAUUUAUUUCGUAUUCAUGAAGAGAACUUCUGUUAUUCCAUUCUUUAUUAUUCUGUUGGAAUAACCUGCAUACGCGGGCUACACUAUACUUGGUGAAAUUCUUCUGUUAUUCCAUUCUUUAUCAUUAUGUUGGAAUAACCUGUCUAUGCGAAGUACCGCAUACAUGGUGAAAUUCUUCUGUUAUUCCAUUCUUUAUUAUUCUGUUGGAACAUCAUGUCUGUGCGUUUACGCAUGACUUGGUUCCGUUAUUUAUUAUUCUAUUGGAAUAUAAUGUCUGUGUGUUUACGCAUGACCUGGUUCCAUUAUUUAUUAUUCUAUUGGAAUAUCCUGUUUGUGCAUUUGCGCAUGACCUGGUUCCAUUAUUUAUUAUUCUGUUGGAAUAUCCUGUCUAUGCAUUUACGCAUGACCUGGUUCCGUUAUUUAUUAUUCUGUUGGAAUAACCUGUCUGUGCGGUCUAUCGCAUGCCUGGUGAUUUCUUUCAUUAUUCCAUUCUUUAUUAUACUUAGUUGGUUAAAGUUGUGGCUUUUAUACUCCAUGAAAUUAUUGGAAUAUCCUUGAUAUUUUCGCUUCAUCUAGUAUAUUUUCAUGGAAAUUUUCUUCUGAGCUUUCUUGAGUUUUACCCCACAAAGAAGUAUCAUAUUGACAACUUGGACGUUAUUGGUUCCUGGAUAAAUUAAUUCUUGAACUUGUUUUAUUGAAUUCUUAUAUCAUUGUCAUCAUCCUCAUGUUUAUAUUAUGUUAAAAGUCAUUUGUGGCCUGUAGUGCAUAGAUGGACUUGGUAUGAUUAUGACCAGGGUUUAAUCGGUAUAAUCAUGACCGUAAUGUUACAAAUGAUGUGGUAAAAGUCCUCAUUGGCCCAUAGUGCAUUGAUGGACAGUUGUUGGCAUGAUCAUGACCAUUGAUGAAUACACGAAUAUCCUUGGCCCGUAGUUCAUGGAUAAUUUGUGGUUAUGAUACUAAUGAAUAUCCUUGGCCGUAGUGCAGGGAUGAUGUGGGUUAUUUAUUAAGCUGAGUCCCAGCAAUAAAAGUAAUGAAAAACCUUUUAAAUCAUAAAAGAUAGUAGAUUUUAUUCUCUACUUGACUCUUUUAAUGGAUUGCUUGUUCCGCUGCAGUUAAACUUGAUGUUUGUUAUAUUGUAUCAGUUUAACACUGUUGAAGGCUAACGAUAAUUUAUUCUGCAUUAUCUUAGUCAUAAUAUUUCUUACUGGGCUAGUUGAGCUCACCCUUUUUCUCACUGUUCUCUUCAGGAAAUGAGAACAUAGCAGGGACUAGUCGGGGAACGGAGUGACGGUCCAGAUGAUAGCAUUAGUAGUCCUCACUAUUCUAUGAAAUAGUGUGAUAAUAAAUGUAUUGAGGACUUAUUUUGAGUUUGAAUACUGUCUAGAAGACAAUAUUUGUAUUAAAACUCACAGCUCAUGUUGUAUAUUUAAGAAUGUAAUUGUAUUCUGUACCAUGUAUUUGGCGACUCAGAAUAGGUGAUGUAUACCUAUUUUGGGGGUGUCAUAUAAACGGUCAAAACCCGUUGACCGGGCAUGACCGGACGAUUUCUGGGUAACCCAGAAAUCGAUUUCCAAUGUCUGACAUGAUGUUUGAAGGCCCAGAUCUGUCAGAUAUGAUAUCGUUUGAUGAUGUAUUUGUAACCAGUUUGUAGCUUGUUAAAUGGACUAUAGAUCCUGGCCUUUAGAGCUCUUAAACAACACAUAUUUUGGUUGUAGUGGAUGGUUAAACUAAACCAUUUGAUCACGGAAGAAGUUUCUGGAAUUUCCAGAAACUGUUAGCUAGAGCCCUCUGACAAGGUUUGACUAGAUUCAAUCUUGUGGUUGUGUUAUAUUUGGACUGAGAUCUUGCUAUGUCGUUGUUCCUUGUCAUGUAUACUACAUGUAUGAACCAUAAAACCACCAAAAUAAAGAUCAAAACUCAGAUUAAAUUGACCUAGAAAGUGACCACUCGAACUACCUGAGUUUCUGGAAAACCCAGUUAACGUCUGACAGUGACUUUGCAUGGCCGGAUCUUAAUGAUGUGUUGAUGUAUGACCUAUAUAUUGGUUGAUAGUUGUAGUGGUGCAUACUUAAUACAAGAUCAACAUUUAAACUAGCCCAGAGCAGGAUUAUACUGAGAAUUAUAAGUUGGUCAAACCAUGACCCUUGCUAAGCCGGCUGUCAGUGUUCUUCAGGCCAAGAACACCUAAAACGACAGAAAGUGUCGCUAUAGGCUAUAGCGACGGUUUAAUUAAUUUCUAUUUUUUGAUUUUCCAGAAAUUAAUUUAUAAUAGAAAUAAAUUCUAAAAAAUUACAAAAAUAGUUUUAAAAAUUAUUUUAAAUUAUGAAAAAUAAAUUUUGACUAUUUGGGAUAUUUUUCAUUAAUAUUUAUAAUUAUUUGAAUAUUAAUGAUAUUUAAUUUAUUUAAUUAAUGUAUUAAAUAAAUUAGAGAAAAAUGAUUUUAAUAUUAUAAAAAUCAUUUUAAUAAAGAAUAAAGUAUUUAAAAAUAUUUUAAGUUAUAAAAUGUAACUUUUAAUAUUUUUAGAGAAUUUUCAUUAAUAAAUUAAUAUUAAUGAUAUUAAAUUUAUUUAAUUAUUAUAUUAAAUAAAUGAGUUAAAAAUGGUUUUAUUGAUUUAAAAAUCAUUUUAAAUGAGAAUAAAGUGUUAAAAAAUAUUUUGACUUAUAAAAUGUAAUUUUUAAUAUUUUUGGAGAAUUCUCAUUAAUAAAUGAUAUUAGAUUUAUUUAAUUAUUAUAUUAAAUAAAUGAAUUAAAAAUGAUUUUAAUGAUUUAAAAAUUAUUCAAAAAUAAGAAAAAUGAUUUAAAAAUAUUUUAUUAUAAUUAAUGACUUUUAAUAUUUUGAUGAUAAUUUCAUUAAUAUUUAUAUAUUAAUGGCGAGGGUUUAAAUAUGGUUUUAAUUAUUUUAAAAAUCAAUUAAGUAGAAUAUUGAUGAUUUAAAAACAGUUAUUAAUAAUAACUUUAAUAUUUUGACAAGUAUGACAUUAAUAUUUUUAUAUUAUUAAAUACUAAUGAUGAUAAGAUUAUUUGAUAAUUAAAUCAUUUAAAAUGAUUUUAGUGUUUGAAAAAUUAUUAUAAAUUAUAAUAAUUGUUUGAUAAUUAUUAAAAGCUUCCGAAAAAUAUUAUAAACGAUAUUUGACUUAUCUAAAAUAAUAUUGAAGCUUUGGAACUGAGUUUAAUUGACAAUCAAUGCGUUAAUUGUCGGAUAGGGUGACCAAUACACCGAGAAUAGACUGAAGUCUAACCAGAUCGAACUAGUUAGACUUGAUAAGUGUUUAUAUAGGUUAUAAACACUGAUGUGACUAUGUGGUAAUGUGCUUAGGAGAAAGAUUGAUUAUAAAUUAUAGUGUUGCGUGUUAUAAAUUAUUAUGCUAAUUAUGAGACCGAUAUUGUGAUUAUAGGUCUUUCAAACGCAAAUAAGUAUAUUGUGUAGCAGUAAUCAACGUGGAAGGCAAGUUUCCUAACUCAACUUUGAGUUAUACUUUUUAAAUAUUAUGGUGGUUAAUUAUUGUUGAUCAGACCACGUCUGAGAAUUAUUGUUGAUUAUUCGCAGUUAGUGCAUAUUUAUUAAUUCAAAUUGAAUUAGUGAUUCUGAAAAUAUACUUGGAGAGUAACUGUUGUUCGAUACUUACAUUCGUAGAAGCUAUUAUUGACAGUACAUAUAAUUCCUGUAUAUUGUUAAAUUGUGUCAAGAUAUGUCUUAGCUAAUUAUUCUGGCUAGACGAACAAUUGUUAGAACUCGAUAGGUUCGAGAAGAAAAGAGAAGAGAAUUCAAUUAUUAUUGAUAGAUCGAUGCCAAUUAUAUCGGCUAGAUCAAAAAAGAAAACUUGAUAAGUUUGAGAAGAGAAGAGAAGAGAAGAGAAUUCAAUUAUUAUUGAUAAAUCGAUGCGAAUUGUUUCGGCUAGAUCAAAAAAAAAAACUUGAUAAGCUUGAGAAGAGAAGAGAAGAGAAGUGAUUAGAUAUUGAAAUCAUUGUAUUUCAUUGUUGAAUCAAAUUCUGAUUUAAAGAUUGAGAAGAACAACCUUUUAUAUAAAGGGAACAUUUUUGGUCCUAUGUUGGCCUUUACGCGCAUUUUAAGUAUUAGGCAUAAUAUAGGGUAUAAUAAAGCUGAUCACUUGUUAUACUUGCAGAGGGGUAUGAUUUAAUCUUUAUGGUUAUCUAAUACACCUGGGUAUAUAUCAAAGUAAAUCUUUGAUAGCUACUUGAGAAGAAAAGUUCUAGAUCCUUUUUGAUCACUCAGCAUAAACUCUGGAAAAUAUUUCAAUCUUGUUAUUCCAUUGAAUAUUGUAGAGACCUUGAAAGCGUUGUACUAUUUCAUUAUCAAAUUAUUGUGUUGCAUAGGUUGCGAGAAGACUUGUUAGUGAUCAAUGAAUUGUUCAGCUAUUUCAAAGUUCCCCGAACUUUGG
rnacentral:lncRNA from 1 species